rnacentral:misc_RNA from 1 species
UCACGCCCGAAGUCAUUACCCCAACCGAGAGGAGGGGGAUGCCUAAGGUAGGACUGAUGACUGGGGUGAAGUCGUAACAAGGUAGCCGUACCGGAAGGUGUGGCUGGAUCACCUCCUUUUAGGGAGACCUAAUCCAUUUAGAAAUCGAAAACAAUGAAAAUUGUCAAUAGAAACUAAAGUGGUCUAACCUAGGUCGUUCGAGAUUGGUAGAUAUCUUUCAAAGUAUUAUUCGGCUUUGUUCAAAACCAUAGAUCAUAAAUGGAAAAAAGACAGCACCUAAUUGUCAAAGUUAGACUGCUGGAUGAAAUUCCAGCCAGAACCUUGAAAACUGCAUAAGAGAACGAGAAAAAGCAGGCAGACACAGACAUUUAGAUGGAUGUGAAAGCAAAAGAAAUUGUGGUCAAGCUAAUAAGGGCUAAUGGUGGAUACCUAGGCACACAGAGG